CAAGCCUCCCUGUUGCAGAUACAGCCUGCUCCUAUAAGGCUCAGGCCUUAGAGGAUCAGAGAAAAAUGGCUGUUUUCUGAAGACUGUACCAAAACACACUUGAUUCGUUGCACCCUCAUCUCUAAACAUCUCUUAACAUCUAAUGUGGAUGGCUUGCACACAGACUUCCCACAAGAAUAUUAAGUUGAAUGGAAACUUACAGAAGAUUGCAAACCCCUCAAAGGCAGGAAGCUUGUCUACAAACACUUGCCUCUGCCAUCAUCAAGGUCUGCUUAUAUGUGUCAAGAAAUUUAUUCAGAAAAGUGUUUGGAGAGCUAAAGCAGCCUUGACCCUUUUGUUUUAGAGAAC